GGCUGGCUACCGAAGAGGCCGAACGGAGCCGACUGUAAAUCGGCAGCGCCAUGCGCCACGCAGGUCCGAAUCCUGCGCCAGCCA
rnacentral:tRNA from 1 species